rnacentral:miRNA from 1 species
GAUGUCGAUAUUCGACGUCAUAAACACGAUCAACUUUGGUGUUUAUGACGUCGAUAUUCGACUUCAUAAAUACGAUCACCUUUGGUGUUUAUGACGUCGAUAUUCGACGUAAUAAACACGAUCAACUUUGGUGUUUAUGACGUCGAUAUUCGACGUAAUAAACACGAUCAACUUUGGUGUUUAUGACGUCGAUAUUCGACGUC